GACGAAGGAUGCAAGCGUUAUCCGGAUUCAUUGGGCUUAAAGGGAGCGUAGGUGGACUUAUAAGUCAGUGGUGAAAUCUUCGAGCUUAACUCGGAAACUGCCAUUGAUACUGUAGGUCUAGAGUACAGUUGCCGUUGGCGGAAUAUGACAUGUAGUGGUGAAAUACUUAGAUAUGUCAUAGAACACCGAUUGCGAAGGCAGCUAACGAAGCUGUAACUGACGCUGAGGAGCGAAAGCAUGGGGAGCGAACAGG
rnacentral:rRNA from 1 species